rnacentral:rRNA from 1 species
GAACGAAACUUCUUUAUCACCGAGUGCUUGCACUCACCGAUACAGAGUUGAGUGGCGAACGGGUGAGUAACACGUGGGCAACCUGCCCAAAAGAGGGGGAUAACACUUGGAAACAGGUGCUAAUACCGCAUAACCAUAGUUACCGCAUGGUAACUAUGUAAAAGGUGGCUAUGCUACCGCUUUUGGAUGGGCCCGCGGCGCAUUAGCUAGUUGGUGGGGUAAAGGCUUACCAAGGCAAUGAUGCGUAGCCGAACUGAGAGGUUGAUCGGCCACAUUGGGACUGAGACACGGCCCAAACUCCUACGGGAGGCAGCAGUAGGGAAUCUUCCACAAUGGGCGAAAGCCUGAUGGAGCAACGCCGCGUGGGUGAAGAAGGUCUUCGGAUCGUAAAACCCUGUUGUUAGAGAAGAAAGUGCGUGAGAGUAACUGUUCACGUUUCGACGGUAUCUAACCAGAAAGCCACGGCUAACUACGUGCCAGCAGCCGCGGUAAUACGUAGGUGGCAAGCGUUAUCCGGAUUCACUGGGCGUAAAGGGAGCGCAGGCGGCACGGCAAGUCUGGUGUGAAAACCCGGGGCUCAACCCCGGGACUGCAUUGGAAACUGCCGGGCUGGAGUGUCGGAGGGGUAAGCGGAAUUCCUAGUGUAGCGGUGAAAUGCGUAGAUAUUAGGAGGAACACCAGUGGCGAAGGCGGCUUACUGGACGAUGACUGACGCUGAGGCUCGAAAGCGUGGGGAGCAAA